rnacentral:lncRNA from 1 species
CUCUUGCUGUCUUCAACUUUGCUUCUCCUUUCUUUUACUUUUUGACUUUUUCAAACUUGUCCUCUCUCUCUUGUCUUCAUCUCUCUCUCUCUCUCGGUACUUGCUCUCACUCUCUCGAUACCCUCUCUCUUCCGCCCCUCUUGUUCGAACAAAGCGGAAGCAGAAACAGAGACCAGCAGCGUUGAAGGAGCUGCAGCCGCGCCGGAGCCAAGA